UUGUAUUGGUAUUCUGCUACACAAUUAUUUUUUAUUACUCAUACAAUCUUCAUACAUCAAAAAACAAGAAAUAACCUUAUUUGUAUCCAAGAUAGUGAUCGUGCACUUAGUUGAAUCCAUUUUAGAAAUAACACUGUUAUGAAAUGGCUGAGCCUAAUGGUUCAGGUAAAUAUUUAUUUGUGAUAUAUACCAUUUUCUAGCGUUUUAAUAGCUCCUGAAUAUAAAUGUUGUUUAGUUAUUGCCUCUUUAUGUAAGGUCUUUUCAUUUCUCCUUGAGCCAAGUUAAGGUCAAAUUCUGAAUGGUACCUGAUUUUAAAAUAAUUUCUGAUUAGUGCUCACCUAAUCCAAUUAUCUAUAAUAAAUGUUUGCCAGGUUUUUCUAUAAAGGGACAUUGUCUUUUCAGGCUUAUGGUUUCUGAUAUAACUAGUUGGCUCUGCUGUUGUAGCAGAAAUGCAGCUAUAAUUUGCAUUCCAAUAAAACUUUGUUAAUGGACACUGAAAAUUGAAUUUUAUAUAAUUUUUCACAUGCCAUAAAAUAUUAUUAUUUUAACCCAUAUAAACAAUAUAUAAAUAGUGGGCAGGAUUUGGUGAGCAGUACUUGCCCCUCUGUUAAUAUAGCUCUGGUUUUUUUUUAUUUUUUUAUUUUUUUGCAGGGGUUGUUGUUUCAUUUUGCUUUGUUUGUUUUAUUAAUGUGUAUAGCAGCUUUAUUUGUAAUAGCAAAAAACUUGAAGCAACUCAAACUUUCAUCAACAGAAAUAUGGAUAAACACACUGUGGUAUAUCCAUAUAAUUGAAUACUUAACUCACCAAUAAAAAUGAAUAAACUAUUGAUGCGUGUAACAACGUGAAUGAAUCUCAAAAUAAUUACAUGCAGUAGUAGAUACUGUAUAUAAAUCUUAGAAAAUAUGAAUUGCAGUGACAGAGAACAAAGAGGUGGUUUUAAACACACAGACAUUUCCAGGGACUACAGCCCCCUGGAUCAAUGCAGAUAAGCAGUUAAAAAGCACACUCCCCAGUUAAUUUCUGGAAGGGGUUUGUCUGUAUACUUCUCUAGCCAUUGUUUGAGGAUUGGGCUCCUCUCUAGGCUGCAUCUAGUAGCCAAUGGGCAAAGAAACAGCAGAACCCUGGGAUACUGACUGUGAGUUCCAGCGUUUCCUGAGUUUUUUCAUCUGGCUUGCUCCAGCAAUAAAGCUAGAGCAGAUUAUCUCUGUAGAUUAUCCUUGGAAGGAGUUUAUUCAUGGAUUGAUCACAGCUGCCACUGCUCCCUCCCAAGGGAUAGCCGCCUUAACCUUAUAGUUCUGGGAAUUGAUGGGACACUGAAUUUCUGAGUCUCUAGACCACUGAAAACAAAUAAAUGGGCAUUCAGUGGGCCCACUUUUUUCCCCCAAGAUGAGAUAAUGCAGUCUGAUCUAAAAUAUAGACGUUUGCUAGAAUUCCUCUCUUCAGCGUAGUGCAGAGAGAAUCCUACUGUCAGCUUCACCACGAGGAUAGAAGGAACUGGAACACACUUAACACUUCAACCUUUCUAGCUGUGUCUAGGGGGAAUGACUUCUCUCUCAAAUGUUUUGAGGUACUAACGGAACUUGGCACAUCCUAAUUUCCUGGAGACAACAAAAAACAAAGGCAGCAGUUUGGACAAACACAAAGGUUUGAGAGGUACCCUAGAAUUUCUGGCCAGACUGACUGGUUAGGUUCUUCUACACUAAACAAGAUUGGGAGAAGCUAUUAGGUUAUCUAAUGUGCAGAAAACAACACAGAGGGUAAAGGCAAAUGAAGAAAUGGGGAAGUAUGUUCCAAAUAGAGAAACAAGAUAAAUUCAAAAAAUACCUGAAGGAGAAGAAAGAAAAAGUGAGAGAAAACACUUUCAAAGAUGUAAAGGCAGAAAACUACUCAAGCCUGGGGAAAUAGAACUCCAGAUCUAGAAAAUUCAAAGGACACCGAAUACUAUCCAUCCAAAGAGAUCCUUAUUAAGACAUGUUAUAAUCAAUUUGUCAAAAAUUAAAGACAGAGUAUUUUUUAAAAAGCAACAAUGAAAAAGCAACAUGUUAAAUACAAGGGUCCCCCACAAGACUAUCAUCAGAUUUUUCAUGAGAAACCUUGCAUGCCAGAGUUAGUGGGAUUCAAAAUCCUCUGAGAAAAAAGACCUGCCAACCAUAGUACUAUGCCCAGCAAUUUUGUCUUUCAAAAAUGAAAAGGAGAUAACAACUUUCUCAGACAAAUGAUGGCUAAGGGAAUUCAGCACUGCUAGACCUGACUUACAAGUAGAGUUCUACUUUCUUGAACUUCUUUCUUGAGAGUUCUCUAAAGAAAGUUCUUCAAGCUAAAGGACAGUGAUAAUUAGUACCAUGAGAACAUGAAAGCAGAAAACUCACUGAUAAAAGUAAGUACACUGUCUAAUUCAAACAUUUUAAUUAUGUGAUGCCAGUGUGUAAAUCAAUGAUAUCUCUAGUAUAAAGGUUGAAAUACAAAACUGUUGAAACAAUGGCAGCUACAAUAGUUUGUGAAGGGACACAAAUUAUAAAAAGAUAUAAAAUGUAACAUCAAAAAGAUAAAACAUGAAGGGUGAGUAAAAGUGUAGGGUUUAUGCAUGCAAUGAAAGUUUAGUUUUUGUAAGCAUAAAAUAGCCAGUUGUAAGUAUAUGACUGGCUUUUUAUGUAAGCCUCAAGGUGACCACCUUUAGUGGAUACACAAAAGAUAAAAGGAUGGAAGUCAUACUGCUAUAGAAAACCAUCAAACCACAAAGGGAAGACAGAAUUAUUGGAAGAAAGGCUCUACAAAAUGAUAAAAUAAUGAACAAAGUGGCACUAGUAAAUCUUUACCUAUCAAUAACUGGUUUGAAUGUAAAUGGAUUAAAUUCUCCAAUUAAAAGCCACAGAGUGCCUGAAUGCAUUAAAAAAAGAGAGACUCAUCUAUAUGCUACCUGCGAGAGACUCACUUUAGCUUUAACGAUGUACAGAGAAUGAACAUUAAGGGAUGGAAAAAAGUAUCCCACGCAAAUGAAAACCUAAAGAGAGCAACAGUAGUUAUCCUUAUAACAGACAAAAUAAAGUCAAAAACUGUAGAUGAGAUAAAGAAGGUCAACAUAUAAUAAUAAAAAGGGGUAUGGUCAUCAAAAGGAUGUAACAAUUUUAAAUAUAUAUGCACCCAACAUUGUAGCAUCUAAAAGCAUGAAGCAAAUAUUGAGACAUCUGAAGAGAGAGAUAAACUACAAUACAGUAAUCCUAGGGGAUUUCAGUACCCCACUUUCAACAAUGAACAGACCAUCCACACCAAAAAUCAAUAAGGAAACAAUGGAUUUGAAGAAAACAGUGGACCAAAUGCAUUUAAUAGACAUAUACAGAACAUUUCAGUCAACAGCAGCAGAAUACACAUUCGUCUGAAGCAUACAUAGGACAUUCUUCAGGACAUUACAGGCAUUGAGCCACCAUGCCUGGCCAGCAAUAGAAAUUCUUUCAUAAAAGAUUAGCCCAGGACCAGAUAGUUUCAUGAUGCAACACUACCAAACAUUUAAAUAAAAAUGAAUACCAGUCCUAUUCAAACUCUUUCAAAAAAUUGAACUGGAGAGAAUACCUCAAACUCAUUUUAUAAGGCCAGCAUUACCCUGAUAGCAAAGCCAUACGAAAGUACUACAAGAAAAUUAGUUCAGCUACUACGGAGAAGUUUGGAGAUUUCACAAAGAACUAAGAGUUGAACUCCCAUUCAACCCAGCAGUGCCAUGACUGGGUGCAUGCUCAAAGGAAAAUAAAUUGUUCUACCAAAAACACAUGCACCUGUACAUUCAUUGCAGCACUAUUCACAGUAGUCUUUGCUGUUGUAAAUAGUGCAGAUAUCUUCAUCAAAAUGCUACUACACCAUAUUCAAUACGACAUUGAAAGGAUCAUUUACCAUGAUCAGUUGGGGUUUAUUCUUGCGAUACAAGAAUGGUUCAAUAUAUGCAAAUCAAUAAAUGUGAUUUAUCAUAUUAACACAGUGAAUAGCAAAAACCAUACUGUCAUUUCAACACAUGCAGAAAAAGAAUUUGACAAAAUUCAACCUGUCAUGAUAAAAGCUCAACGAAUUAGGUAUAGAAGGACUGUUCCUCAAUAUAAUUAGGCGAUAUGUGACAAGCCCACAGCUGACAUUAUACUCAUUGGUGAAAAGUUGAAAGCUUUACUCUUAGGAUCAGGAACAAGAAAAGGAUGCCCACUGUCACCACUUCUGUUACACUUCAAUUCAGUGUAUUACUGGAAUUGUUAGCCACAGAAAUUAGGUAAUAAAAAGAAAUAAAAGGCAUCCAGAUUCAAAAGGAAGAAGUGAUAUUGUGGUUGUCAACAACAUAAUGUUAUAUAGAAAAUCCUCAAGACCCCACUAAAAAGCUGUUAGAACUGAUAUAUAAAUUCCGUAAUGUACUUCAGUAAUGUUUCAGGAUACAAAGUCAACAUACAAAAAUCAGCAGUGUUUCUUGCUUUUUUUUUUUUUUUAAUAGAGACAGUGUAUCACUCUGCCACUCAGGCUGAAGUGCAGUGGCAUGAUUGUAGCUCACUGUACCUUGAACUCAUGGGUUCAAGCAAUCCUUCCACCUCAGCCUCCUCAGUAGCUAGGACUGCAGGUGCAUGCUACCACAUCUGGCUAUUAAAUUUUUUUUUUUUUUCUCGUAGAGAUGGAAUCUUCUUUCUCUGUGUUGCCCAGGCUGGUCUUAAAGUCUUAGCCUCAAAUGAUUUUCCUGCUUUGGCCUCCUAAAGUACUAGAAUUACAGUCAUGAGCCACUGCACCCAGCCUAAAAAUCAGUAGCAUUUUAUAAACUAAAAAUGAACUAUCUGAAAAAGAAAUUAAGGAAACCAUCCCAUUUACAAUAGCAUCAAAAAAUAUAAACUAUUUUAUAGUAAAUUCAACCAAAGAGGUUAAAAAUCUGUAUACAAAAAAAUCAUAAAACAUUGAUGAAAGAAAUUGAAGACAACACAAAUGAAAAAUGAUAUCCUGUGUUAGUGGGUUGGAAAAAUUAAUAUUGUUAAAAUCUCCAUAUUGCCCAGAGUGAUUCACUGAUUCAGUGCAAUCCCUAUAACAUUCCAUUUUCAUUUUUCACAGAAAUAAAAAAAAUCCUGAAAUUCAUAUGAAUACACAAAAAAACCCCAAAUAGCCAAAGCAAUCUUGAACAAAAAGAACAAAGCUGGAUGGAGGCUCACACUACCUGAUUUAAAAAUAUAUUAGACAGCACUUUGGGAGGCCGAGGCGGGUGGAUCAUGAGGUCAGGAGAUCGAGACUAUCCUGGCUAACAAGGUGAAACCCCGUCUCUACUAAAAAUACAAAAAAUUAGCCGGGCGUAGUGGCGGGCGCCUGUAGUCCCAGCUACUCGGGAGGCUGAGGCAGGAGAAUGGCGUGAACCCGGGAAGCGGAGCUUGCAGUGAGCCGAGAUUGCGCCACUGCAGUCCGCAGUCCGGCCUGGGCGACAGAGCGAGACUCCGCCUCAAAAAAAAAAAAAAAAAAAAAAAAAAAAAAAAUAUAUAUAUAUAUAUAUAUAUAUAUAUAUUAGAAAGGUAUUGUAAUCAAAACAGCAUGGAGCUGGCAGAAGAAAAUAUACAUUAACCAAUGGAAAAGUAUUAAAAGCUCAGAAGUAAACCCGUACAUUUAUGGUUAGUUGACUUUAAACAAAGGUGCCAAGGACACACAAUGAGUAAAGUAUAGUCUCUUCAAUAAAUGAUGUUGGGAAAACUGGAUAUCCACAUGUAGAAGAAUGAAAUUGGGACCAUAUCUCACCCCACAUAAAAAAUCCAACCAAGUAGGUUAAAGACUUAAAUAUAAGACCUGAAACUGUUAAACUUGAACACAGGUUUGAGCUGUGCAGGUCCGCUUAUACAUGGGUUUAAAAAAAAUAAAUACAGUCAUCCAUAUCAGGGGGAUCUACAUCUGUGACCAAAUGUGGAUCAAAAUAUGGUAUUUGUGAGAUGCAAAAUCCACCCUUAUGGAGGACCAACUUUUUGUACCUGUGGGUUCUGCAGGGCCGGCCAUGGGAUUUGAGUAUGUACAUAUUUUGUUAUCUCAGCGUGGUUCUGGAACCAAUCCCCAUGGAUAUUGAGGGACAAUUGUAGAAUAAAACAUACGGGGAAAACUCUAUGACAUUGGUCUGGCUGUUGAUUUCUUGACUAUGACCCCCAAAACACAGAUAACGAAAGCAGUAAUAGACAAAUGGGAUUGCAUCAAACUCAAAAGCUUCUGCACAGCAAAGGAACUAAUCAACAGAAUGAUGAGACAAACUGUAAAUGGGAGAAAAUAUUUGCAGACUAUGCAUAUGGCAGUGGGUUAAUGUCUAGAAUAUAUAAGCAGUCCAAACAACUUAAUAGCAAAAAAGCAAAUAAUUUAAUUUAAAAAUAGCCAAAAGACAUUUUGCCAAAGAAAUGUCUUAGGGCCUGAGGAUCAGCCUACCUGGCAGCCCCACCCCUGACAGUGCAGCUCCUGUGAUCAUUGGAUUUGUGCCCUCCCCGAGGGCCUGAGGAUGGGCCCACUUGGUGGCCCCACUCUUGCCAAUGCCACCCCCAUGAUGAGUGGAUUUGUACUCUUACCCAGGUCCUGAGGGCCAGCCCACCCAGCAUCCCCACCCCUGAUGACGCUGUCCCUACAACUGGCUGAACUGGUGCAUUUUGUGUGUGCCUUCCAGAGCCAGUGGACUGGUGUGUAUCCAAUGAUGCCACCUCUGAAACCUACAGAACCACUAUGCUUUGCAUGUGUACCCUGCAGGGUCUGAGGGCCAGGCUGUCUGGUAGCUCUGCUCCUGGUGACACUGCCUUUUCAUUUGCUAGAACAACCAUGCUUUGGACAUACACCCUUGGCAUCAAGAUAGCUUGUGUGGCGGCUUUCCCCACAGCCACACUGUCACCCAGGCUGGAGUACAGUGGUACGAUCGUGGCUCACUGCAGCCUCUACCUCCCAAGCUCAAUCAGUUCUCGUGCCUUAGCCUCCCAAGUAGCUGGAAAUAUAGGCAUGUACCACCAUGCCCGGCUAAUUUUUCUGUUUUUGGUAGACAGGAUCUCACUCUAUUGCCUGAACUUGUCUUGAACUUCUGACCUCAAGCAGUCUUUCUGCCUCGGCCUCCCAAAGUGCUGGGGUUACAGGUGUGAACCACUGUGUCUGGCCCACUGCACUUUAAAACAAACAAACAAAAAUAUGCAGGGUCUCAUUAUGUUGCCCUGUCUGGACUUGAACUCCUCAGUUCAAGUGAUCCUCCAGCCUCAGCCUCCCAAGUUGCUGGGAUUAUAGGCAUAUACCACGGUGCAUGGCUUGGAACUGUCACUCAUGCCUUGCGCAUGCCCCCCAGGACCAGAGGACUGGCUUGCUUGGUGGCACCAACAUAGUACUGGAAAAGCACACCAACUUUGUAAACACCCGUAGCCUAAGUCACUGAGGCAGUAACAUCGGAUGUUGACUACAGGUAAAGAAAUUACACAGAGACUACACUGCUGCACCUACCUAGAACCAAAGCUAAAGCACCCUACCCAUUUACCACCUUAGGAUCCAUCUACAGAAAAUGUCUUCUUAAGAAAGUUACCCCAUAAAAUUGGAAGAGGCAGCUGUUUCACCUAAUGGCACAGGUCAAUACGGGGACACAAGAAAUAUGGUAAGAUAACUACCGUGAUAAAAAUAUGCAAAAGAAUAAAACUCACUGGUAGAAGUCAAUUCAGAAUCCAAUUUAGAACUGUUAGAGGUAAUUUCACUUUCAAACUCAGAAUAUAUUAUUAAUGUAAUGGUGGCAUAUAGUCUUUUAAAUCUCUAGUAUGAUGGUUAUAACUCAAAAUGGUAAGUGAUGUCUAUAGCUACAAUUAAAUGUUAAGUAACACAUGAUUUUAAAAAGAUGUAAAUUAAGGCAGCAAGUUAUAAAUUGUGGGGGGAUGGGGAUAAAAGUCUAGCGUAUUUGUAUGCAAAGUUGUUAUCUGUUUAAAAUAGUCCAUUAUAAAUACAAGAUUUUAAAAUGUAAGCCCCAUAGUAACCUGAAAGAACAAAACGACAGCAGAUACAUAAAUAAGAAAGAGAAAAGAAUUAAAGCUUAACUCUCCAGAAAACCACCAAAACAGACAGAUAAAUAGUAAGAGAGGAAGAAAGGUUAUAUAUAGAUAUACAUGUAUAUACGUAUCUAUAUAUACAUAUACAUAGAUAUGUAUAUACGUAUAUAUCCAUAUACACGUAUAUACGUAUAUAUGUAUAUAUACAUGUAAGUAUAUAUGUACAUAUACGUAUAUAUGUACAUAUACGUAUAUACGUAUAUAUGUACAUACACGUGUAUACGUAUAUGUAUAUAUGUAUAUAUGUGUAUACGUAUAUGUAUAUAUAUGUGUAUAUAUGUGUAUAUAUACACAUGUAUAUAUGUGUAUAUAUACACAUGUAUAUAUGUGUAUAUAUACACAUGUAUAUAUGUGAAGGAAAUAUUAUUAGCCCUAAAGGGAGAGAGAGAUAGCAAUACUGUAAUUAUAGGGGACAUCAACACUCCACUUUCAGCAAUGGAUAGGACAACCAGACAGAAAAUCAGCAAAGAACGAUAGAGUUAAACUGCACUCAAGAUAUAUGAACCUAACAGACAUUUACAAAACAUUCUGCCCAGCAGUUGUAGAAUACACAUUUUUUUCUUUUUCUUUUUUUCUUUUUUUUUUGAGACUAAGUUUCAUUCUUCACCUAGACUGGAGUGCAGUGACACGAUCUCGGCUUGCUGCAAUCUCCACCUCCCGAGUUCAAGCGAUUCUCCUGCCUCAACCUCCCAAAUAGCUGGGGUUACAGGCAUGUGUCACCACACCCGGCUACUUUUUUGUAGUUAGUAGAGAUGGGGUUUCACCAUGUUGGUCAGGCUGGUCACGAAUUCCUGACCUCAGGUGAUCCACCCAUCUUGGCCUCUCAAAGUGCUGGGAUUACAGGCGUGAGCCACCACGCCUGGCCCACAUUUUUUUCAUUAGCACAUGGACCUUUCUUUAAGAUAUGUCAUGUGUUGGGCCACAAAACAAGUCUCAAUAAGUUAAAAAAAUUUCAAAUUGGGAGCCGGGGGCCUUGGCUCACACCUGUAAUCCCAGCACUUUGGGAGGCCAAGGUGGGCAGGUCACGAGAUCAGGAGAUUGAGACCCUCCUGCCUAACACGGUAAAACCCUGUCUCUAUUAAAAAUACAAAAAAUUUAGCCAGGCAUGGUGGCAGGCGCCUGUAUUCCCAGCUACUCAGGAGGCUGAGGCAGGAGAAUGGCUUGAACCUGGGAGGUGGAGCUUGCAGUGAGCCGAGAUCACGCCACUGGGCUCCAACCUGGGUGACAGAGCGAGACUCCAUCUCAAAAAUAAUAACAAUAAUGAUAAUAAUAAUAAUAAUAAACAAAAUUUCAAGUUGGGGAGUAUCUUUUGUGACAAGGGAUUAAACUAGAAAUCAAUAAUAGGUUCUUUAGAAACUAUAUGCAAAUAGUUUUUAAACAACAUGCUUCUGAACUACAAAUGAGUCAAAGGAGAUACUAAAAGGGAAAUUAAAAAAAAAUUUAAAGAAAUGAGAAUGCAAAUGCAAUGUACUAAAACCUAUGGUCUACAGCAAAAGCAGUUCUAAUGGGGAAGUUUAUAGCAAUAAUUGUCUACGUUAGUAAGUGAGAAAGAUCUCCAGUAAACCACCAAUAACAUUAUUCCUCAAGGAACUAGGAAAAAUGAGAACAAAAUAAACCUUAAGUUAAUAGAAGAAGAGAAA